AGCCGUCUGGGAGUUGUCCCCGCCUGCUCUGAGGAACUCUCGGCGGGACACCAGCCACUGGCGCGGCUCUCGGUCGUAGUCGCUGCACGCAGGGGACGUGGGGCACGUCUCUACCUGCGGCGCGCAGUGCAAUGCAUCUGGCCAGGUUCGGGGACGGGUUAUCUGAAGCCUGAGGAUCAGGGUGCACUUGAAGACGCGUCUCUUUACAGCGCCGACAAAGCUUAAGUGCAGCCGAGAGAGGAACCGAAAAGACAGUUUACCAAAGCCUCACGACAGCGUUCCAUGAAAAGGAAAGCGCAUAGGGACCCUCCAAGGGCGCGCGCGCGCGCGCGCGCACACACACACACACACACACACACACACACACACACACACACGCAAACACACUCGCACACUCCAGCACUUCCUCCACAGGGUCUCCGAGAGGCCAAAUAAUGCUUCUAGCGACAGGCAGCCGACCCCUAGCGGAUCUAACUUCCAGCCAGAAGACUCUGACCCCGUCGCCAACUCAGUCCGCCGCGGGGGUGUCGGGGUUUGAGCGGUGUGGGAAAGUUAGAAGGAGCGGCUUCUGAAGUACUGUCUAGUAGCCCCGCCAGAGUCCCCGCACCGUGUCUGCCAACCUCAGCGUCCGCUCCAGCCAAGCAGAUCCUUCAGAAACCGGGGGAAAGAGAUGGCGAUAUGCUAGCGACUGGCGCACGCGGAGCGAGGGCACCGUGGAACCGCCGACGCUCAGGAUCCCCGGACAAUCCUGUGCCUUUGGCGGUGUGUGGAGCGCUCUCGACGUUAAAGCCCAGUAAAUAGACGAAGGACUUGUUUCAAUUUCAACUUCACAAGGAUCCCUUUCUAAUCACUCCUUUCUUCCCUGAUUUUUUUUAAUUAAAAAAUACAGAUCAAAGUAAA
rnacentral:lncRNA from 1 species